rnacentral:rRNA from 1 species
AGUGAACGCUGGCGGCAGGCCUAACACAUGCAAGUCGAACGGCAGCACAAGAGCGCUUGCUCUCUGGGUGGCGAGUGGCGGACGGGUGAGGAAUGCAUCUGAAUCUGCCCAUUUGUGGGGGAUAACCUCGGGAAACCGGGACUAAUACCGCAUACGACCUACGGGUGAAAGCAGGGGAUCUUCGGACCUUGCGCAGAUUGAUGAGCCGAUGCCGGAUUAGCUAGUUGGAGGGGUAAAGGCCCACCAAGGCGACGAUCCGUAGCUGGUCUGAGAGGAUGAUCAGCCACACUGGGACUGAGACACGGCCCAGACUCCUACGGGAGGCAGCAGUGGGGAAUAUUGGACAAUGGGCGCAAGCCUGAUCCAGCCAUGCCGCGUGUGUGAAGAAGGCCUUCGGGUUGUAAAGCACUUUUGUUGGGAAAGAAAAGCAGCCGGUUAAUACCCGGUUGUCAUGACGGUACCCAAAGAAUAAGCACCGGCUAACUUCGUG